ensembl:lncRNA
CUUGGCUAAGAGAGGUCAGUCACAUAGCAAAAUCUAAGCUCUCCUCUGCUGUAUUCAGGCUAGCUUAAAAAUGCAGAUAUAUUGCCAGCUGACUAGCAAGACGUUCUUCUUUCAACCUUGUUUUAAGAGGCCCCUGGUUUCUUGGAAGUGAGGGAGUGCAGCACUGAGAAGCAACGGGAAGAUGUCCUACACAUGGAGCGAUAGGCAGAUGCAGCUGCUCUAGGAUCCUCUGGUCAUCUGUUUUCAUUAAAACUUCACUUGUGCAUUUGACCUACCAGCUGGAUUCAGCAUAUGUCACUGGUAAAGAGAUUGAACAUUGAAAAUCACGAACAACAUUUACAUGAAACACUAGCUGCCACUAGCUUCACAUUCAUCUGUCAGGUGAUCAAAAUCUCAAUCUGAAUUUUUAGUCUGAACAUUUUUCUUCCUGUGGUCUCUUUACAACAAAAUUGCAUCCUCUUCCUUUCUGCGGCCUUCAGAUCAGUCUUUGCAACUUCUAAGUGACGGAUGAAGGAAAUCCUUAUUGCUUGAAGCAGCUCUACCUAUUUAUAUGAACCUGCCACGUGGUUUCCUAAAAUAUGAACUGACAAGGCCAUUCGUCUCUGAAAUGCUGCUGAAGAUGGUUUCAGAACUGGAGUGAUGAAGCCUGGUCGUAAUAGCUGCUGUCUCUUUCUUGUUGCCUCGUGUGCCAAGGUGUCCCAAAGCACAGCUGUGAAACAAAGUACCGUGGAAUAUUCCUUGAGAAUUCUACCCAGAUGUGAAAAGAAUAAGUGCAUUUUUUAAAACAGAUUUUAAGUUAAGCUGUUCAGCCUGAAAAUGUCAAAUAUGAAGAAGUGAUACUUUUGCUUAAUGUAAAACUGAAUCACUUCUUUAAUACGUAUAGCAUCUGAGUGAUUUAGUUAAGCUAUAUUAAAUUACAAUUCUGUUCUUGUUUUCUUGAUUAUAUUCAGAAUUACAAACUUCAGAUCUAUUGUUGUUAAAUAGGGAUAUUUUUCACUGUUCAGGUAUGAAUAUUUAAACAGUGCUAAAUUUCGAGGUAUACAGAUGAGCUAAUUUGAAAUUUUAAAUGAAUUAAAAGUUCAAUUUCUGAAAUGAUUUGUAAAGUCUUGCUUGAUUCUUGAGUGCUUCCAGGUGCUUCAAUAAAACCUGGUUCCAAAAAAUCCAGUAUUCUGUUUCUGAAAUUCACUAUUUAACCUCAUUCUUGUUAAUCUAGUACAAACUUUUAUUUCAUUUGACAGUACAGUUUUCAACUUUAUAGAUGAACCAGACAUUAAAACUCACAUAGCUUAUAAUUUACACGGAAAAUGGCAGAAAAAUAAAAGAUCAUUAGGGCUUGCAUUGCUAAAAUCAGAGCCAUCUGACCUCCUUUAACAAUUACUGCAUUUGAUAUUUAAUAACUUUCACAGAUUAACAUUGCUGACAAAUGAUCUGGUUUUCCAGUGGGUAGUUUAGCUCAUUGGAUCCAAAGGUAAAUAAAAGAAAAGGCAAUGAGCUCAUGGCUGUUAACAUGCUUUCAGCCCUUGGCCACCAUUUACCCCACUCCACAGCACGUAGAAAAAUCUCUGCCCAGCUGUAAUGAGAAGCUCCACCCCAUAUUAUUCUUGUUACAUAGGUACAGGUACUUAUGGCAGAAGUGCAGAAUUCACAUUCUUUGUACAUUCUGUGAGAGAGAAAAAGCAAAUGGUCAAUCAAAUUAGUCUUUUCUCAGCAUCUCUGCCCAGUACAUUGCCCUUUAGAGCAGCGGAUUUAGUAUCAGUUGGUCUCUGCCUGGGGUACAUGACGGUUUACCUCAAAUUCAGGACUUGUCGCUUCAAUAACAAUCUUUAAUUUUGGAUAUGUUUACUUUUUUUCUGUUUUCUUGUCUACUAUUCUAUUGUUUUGAAAUUCUUUUAUUGCUAAAUGCUGGAGAAAGCUCAUUUCAAACAUUCUGUUACACCAUUUUCUUUGUGUGUACCACAUACAACAGAGUUUUUCUUUCAAGUGCUGUAUUUCAUUUAAAACUGAUUGCACAAUUUUAG